AUCAAUUAUUCUUAAAUAUAUACAGAAAUCCGAAAACACGAUUUUUUACGCAAUUGUUUACGGACUAUGAAACAAACUUUACAUUUAUAUUGAUUUUUGCACUUAGGAUUUUGAUUUAGUCGCGGCGAUAAUAAGAUGUACCUAUGUUGAUUUUAUUAUACAAUAAUAUUUGCGGGUUGAGAUAAACCAAAUUUCGUCAAUACAAAUUUCCGGUUUCGCCUGUAGUCUUUUAUGCCCAGCUACAUAGUUUCGACGAGCGACGCGACCACGAAUGAUUAUAAGUCAUAGAGAACUAUAGAUACCUACGUGAAAAUCCCUUGGGUUAUAAAUGUAUAAUAAAGGUUUACUUUAUAAUUUUGGAUACGAUUAUAGUUAUUCACUAUACUGCUAAUGUUACUAUGAAGAGUACUAAUAUUUUGUGUAGAACAUUAAGCGUCAGCAUGGGCGAAACUACGGGUUAGACCAGUCGGGUCAUGGCCUAACCUAAUACUGGAUGAAUAUCAUAACAUCAUACUGACUUGGUAGUUAGUAGAAUUUAAAAACUUAAUUUCUGCAUCUAAAACGCCUACGAUGUUUUGUUCUGUUUAAAUAAAUAUAAAUACGUAAUGCGUGGGUAUUACCAAUCUGCAUUUGUACCUAUUAUAUAUGCGGCUAUUAUUGUUUCAUCGUCUUAUCGCUAUUCACUACUCACUAAACUGUUGAAACGGCGACUAUAGCAAGCGGUGCGGUGGAAGAAGUUAUUUUGGAAAAAAUAAUAGUCAAGGUGCUAAGAACGAAAUCCAAAAAUACUAUAUAUGUGCAUUGUAUUAGGGGACUCUUGUAUUUCACGAACGGAAAAUUCGAUCAUAUUCGACUUCUUUGGCGUUAUUCAAAUGGUUUACAAUUUUAUUAAGGGAAGUCCAAUACGGCAUGCGAUUUUGAAAAACAUUUUUGACAAAAAACAUUUUGU